rnacentral:misc_RNA from 1 species
GAUGAAGAACGCAGCGAAAUGCGAUACGUAAUGUGAAUUGCAGAUCUCUCAGUGAACCAUCGAAUUUUUGAACGCACAUAGCGCCCGCCGGUCAUUCCGGCGGGCAUGCCUGUCCGAGCGUCGAUGACGCCGCUCGAGCCCCCGUGCUCGGUGUUGGGGCGCUAGGUCUCCCAGAGGCCUAGGCCCCCAAGUAGCAGUGCGCGGUCCGGCUGCGGGCCCCGGGUACAGUAACUUCACUGUUGAGAUGCCCUGGGAGCCGCUGGCAGGGUCAGCCGUAAAACCCCCGACAUAGGCCUUCCUGUCCGCCCCCGGCGGGGAGGGAGACCGCCUAAUGUUGACCUCGGAUCAGGUAGGACUACCCGCUGAACUUAAGCAUAUCAAUAAGCGGAGGA